AGUGAACGCUGGCGGUAGGCCUAACACAUGCAAGUCGAACGGCAGCACAGUAAGAGCUUGCUCUUACGGGUGGCGAGUGGCGGACGGGUGAGGAAUACAUCGGAAUCUACUUUUUCGUGGGGGAUAACGUAGGGAAACUUACGCUAAUACCACAUACGACCUACGGGUGAAAGCAGGGGAUCUUCGGACCUUGCGCGAUUGAAUGAGCCGAUGUCGGAUUAGCUAGUUGGCGGGGUAAAGGCCCACCAAGGUGACGAUCCGUAGCUGGUCUGAGAGGAUGAUCAGCCACACUGGAACUGAGACACGGUCCAGACUCCUACGGGAGGCAGCAGUGGGGAAUAUUGGACAAUGGGCGCAAGCCUGAUCCAACCAUACCGCGUGGGUGAAGAAGGCCUUCGGGUUGUAAAGCCCUUUUGUUGGGAAAGAAAAGCAGCAGGUUAAUACCCCGCUGUUCUGACGGUACCCAAAGAAUAAGCACCGGCUAACUUCGUG
rnacentral:rRNA from 1 species